rnacentral:tRNA from 1 species
GGGGAUGUAGUUAAUAAUAACAUUUAAUUUGCACUUAAAAAGUACUUUUAUAGUCUUCCUCA